rnacentral:rRNA from 1 species
UACGUAGGUGGCUAGCGUUACUCGGAUUUACUAGGUGUAAAACGUGGGUAGGUGGUCUGAUAAGUUAAAGGUGAAAUUUACGAUUAAAAUUGUAAGCGUCUUUUAAUACUGUCAGGCUUGAGUAUAAAAUGGGGAAUCGGAAUUCCAGGUGUAGCGGUGAAAUGCGUAGAUAUCUGGAGGAAUGCCGAUGGCGAAGGCGGGUUCCUGGUUUAUUACUGACACUGAGCCACGAAAGCCGGGGGAGC